AACUUUUUAGUAUACUUAGUACGACUAAUUUCCAAUUAGUAGGACCUUAAAGUUA
rnacentral:tRNA from 1 species